GUAUAGUACGCUAUAUAUAUUUAUAACUAUUUUUACUAUUCUUUGUAUUUUACCAUUUUGUCAACGAGCGUCUGUUCAUUCGGUUCGCUGUCGUCUUACUGUGUUGUGUUGCGUACGUGUGUGUUUGUCAAAUUUAAUAUUAAUGACGGAAGCUCCUAAUAAAGAAAUUCGACUGUCUGGUGGAGCAAGGCGAUUAGUUAAAGAAAAAUAAAAGGCAGUUAAAGCCAAUCGAAGUUUAUUGUUCUUCCUAAAAUCGAACGUCAGUCAAGAACAAUCUUCGGAAUAUAAUUGUAGUGAAGAGGAAGAUAAUCCACUCACUUUACCAACUCUUGGUACGGACAAACGAAUUGAACUUGCCCAAGAAGAUGUUUCAUAAUCGAAAUUAAUUGAUAGAUGCCAUGAUUGUACACCAGAUCCAUAUUUAUUUAUUGAUACUGUAUUAACACCUCAAAUAAUCAAAACUCUUGUUGAAAUAGGGCCUUAUCAACCUGGUUUUAAUAAUAAUGAUUAUGUUUUUGAAUUGUUUUAUGUGUCCGGCAAAAAUUUUUUAGCAGGCUUAAACUUCUCAAGACGUACCUUCACUCAACUAUGACUGAAGACCGGCUAUCAAAUUUGGCAAUAUUAAGCAUAGAAAGCAACAUAGCUCAAACAAUACAUUUGCAUCAAU